GGGCUGAAGCCAUUCCCCACUCUCCCACAGGAGGGCACAGACAGACCGACAAGGACUCUUGUCCCCCAGCGCUCCUGCCUUCUCCCCCGGGCCAGGCACCAAAGCCAGGAGGCUUGCCUGCCCCCUCAGGUGGAAAGAGAUGGAGAAGCUCGGUGGACUCUGCCCAUUCCCAGAGCAGGCUGCAGGACCGAGGGUAGUGAGACAGAGAAGUUCUGUCCCAGGACACAGCCUGAUGAAGGCUUGUGGCUGACGUGCCUCUUUCUGAGCUCUCACCUCAGAAAGACCUGCUCCCUCCUUGCCACCUCUCCACCCCAAGUCCUGGUUCCCAUCCUUCUUCCUUUGGAAACCCCACCCCAAGCCCCACCCCCCUCAACACACACAUUUCUUCUCAACCCUCCUCUGGCUUUCAGGGUUCGGACAUCUCUCUCAAGGGAGAGAGGUGGGAGCACUCCAGGAAGCUCCUCCCACUACACCCCCUUCCACCAGAACCGUGACUCUGAGGGCGUCCUCCAGAACUCAGUUUUCUCCAUCUAUGCAAACUGUCAACACAGUGGAAGGUGCAGGACCAAGAGAAAAUGCUUGCUGGGAAGUUUAGGGCUGUGUCCUCAUCUUUCCUUUACUGUGGUCCCUGUCUCCACUGCCUCCUUCCCAAACUCCUCACAGUGCUUCACACUCUCCCCCCCCGCCCCCCCCCCCAAACUCAGUUCAGGUGGCCUCAGUUUCCUCUUGUCAGGGAGGAAAGAGGGACUUUGUUGUGUCUGGGCACUGUGGCCUUUCCUGCCCAGGAACCAAAAGAAUGGGGCUGCAAUGGAGACUUCCAGAGACACCCCACCAGUUGAGAGAUGUUUCAUAGUGUGCAACAGGGCCUCCUUUUAUUGCCCCCAUUGCCUCCCAGAAAGCACUCCAACCGUGGGCCAGGAGAGCACACAGACUCCAUGGGGAGCAGGACCAGGCUACUUCCAGUGGGUCAGCCUUGGGGUUUCAAGACACAGCUGGCCAGAUUCCAAGAAGCACAGACCAUCGAAGAGUCUCGUUUUGAUUUUUUCUUUUAAACUGUGCUUUAUUUAG
rnacentral:lncRNA from 1 species